UUGGGGGGGUGCUAAUACAUGCAAGUCGAGCGGCAGCGGGAAAGUAGCUUGCUACUUUUGCCGGCGAGCGGCGGACGGGUGAGUAAUGCCUGGGAAAUUGCCCAGUCGAGGGGGAUAACAGUUGGAAACGACUGCUAAUACCGCAUACGCCCUACGGGGGAAAGCAGGGGACCUUCGGGCCUUGCGCGAUUGGAUAUGCCCAGGUGGGAUUAGCUAGUUGGUGAGGUAAUGGCUCACCAAGGCGACGAUCCCUAGCUGGUCUGAGAGGAUGAUCAGCCACACUGGAACUGAGACACGGUCCAGCUCCUACGGGA
rnacentral:rRNA from 1 species